AGUGGGAUUGCUGGGUCAUACGGUAAGUGUAUGUUUAACUUUAUAAGAAACUGCCAAACUCUCUUUCAGAGUGGCUGUGCGGUUUUGCACUCCCACCAGUAAU
rnacentral:pre_miRNA from 1 species